UACGUAGGGUGCAAGCGUUAAUCGGAAUUACUGGGCGUAAAGCGUGCGCAGGCGGUUUUGUAAGACUGUCGUGAAAUCCCCGGGCUCAACCUGGGAAUGGCAUUCGGGACUGCAAGGCUGGAGUGCGGCAGAGGAGACUGGAAUUCCUGGUGUAGCAGUGAAAUGCGUAGAUAUCAGGAGGAAUACCGAUGGCGAAGGCAGGUCUCUGGGCUGACACUGACGCUCAUGCACGAAAGCGUGGGGAGCAAACAGG
rnacentral:rRNA from 1 species